rnacentral:rRNA from 1 species
AUACGGAAGGUCCGGGCGUUAUCCGGAUUUAUUGGGUUUAAAGGGAGCGUAGGCCGGGGAUUAAGUGUGUUGUGAAAUGUAGGCGCCCAACGUCUGACUUGCAGCGCAUACUGGUUCCCUUGAGUACGCGCAACGCCGGCGGAAUUCGUCGUGUAGCGGUGAAAUGCUUAGAUAUGACGAAGAACCCCGAUUGCGAAGGCAGCCGGCGGGAGCGCAACUGACGCUGAAGCUCGAAGGUGCGGGUAUCGAACAGGAUUAGAUACCCUGGUAGUCCGCACGGUAAACGAUGGAUGCCCGCUGCCGGCGCCUUGCGCCGGCGGCCAAGCGAAAGCGUUAAGCAUCCCACCUGGGGAGUACGCCGGCAACGGUGAA